UCCACCUGGGAGAAAUGGGUCACAGACAGGACAGCUGGAAGUGUUGGUGUUUUAUUUAAUACUUAAUGGUUAAAAAACUCAACUAUCAUUAUGGCCCCUCAACCUCUACAAGUUAGUGACCAAGCCAAACUAAUAGUGCAGGCAGCUGUGGAAUCCCUGAGGCUGGCCAGGGGAGAGUGAGCGUUAGGUUUUACCACAUCCCCAUCCUUACAACAUGCUCCUCCAAGCUCAGCAAAUUCUUAUCAGAUGAUAAUGGGGAAACAUCUCAAUUUUAGUGUCACUACCACUAUCCAAGUCUGGAAUCCCCAAGAUUUAAUAGACAAAUAAGAAUCUUCUUAUGUGAGUGUAAGUUAGCUUUUCAUCAUGGUGACCAAAAUACCUGACAAGAACAACUUAGAGGAGGAAAAGUUCAGUUUGGAUCAUGGUUUUAGUCCAUGGUCAACUGACUCCGUUGCUCUGGGUCUGGGGAGAGCAGAACAUCAUGGUGAAAGAUUGUGGCGGAAGAAAGCUGUUCAGCUCAUGACAGUUAAGAAGCAGAAAGGAGAGAGAGAGGGAGGGGAGGGGGAAUGGAGAAAAGAAGGGGCUAUAAACCUUUCCAGGGCACCCCAUCCCCACUCCAUGACCUAUUUUCCCCAACUAGGUCCUCAGCCAUCAAUGAACUAAUCUACUAGUGAGAGCAAAGCUUCAUGAUCCAAUCAUUUCCCCCAAAUCCCACCACUGAACACAGUCCAAAUCCAAAUCAUAAAAAUAAG
rnacentral:lncRNA from 1 species